UACGUAGGGGGCAAGCGUUGUCCGGAAUCAUUGGGCGUAAAGCGCGUGUAGGCGGUUACAUAAGUCUGUUGUGAAAGUCGGGGGCUCAACCCUCGAAUGCCGGUGGAUACUGUCGGGCUAGAGUGCGGAAGAGGCGAGUGGAAUUCCUGGUGUAGCGGUGAAAUGCGCAGAUAUCAGGAGGAACACCUAUUGCGAAGGCAGCUCGCUGGGACGUUACUGACGCUGAGACGCGAAAGCGUGGGGAGCAAACAGG
rnacentral:rRNA from 1 species